CCCUGGUUAGCUCAGUUGGUAGAGCUCUCCCCCUGUAAUGGAGAGGUCCCGGGUUCAAUACCCGGACCAGGCG
rnacentral:tRNA from 1 species